UACGGAAGGCAGCAGUGGGGAAUAUUGCACAAUGGGCGCAAGCCUGAUGCAGCCAUGCCGCGUGUAUGAAGAAGGCCUUCGGGUUGUAAAGUACUUUCAGCGGGGAGGAAGGCGAUGCGGUUAAUAACCGCGUCGAUUGACGUUACCCGCAGAAGAAGCACCGGCUAACUCCGUGCCAGCAGCCGCGGUAAUACGGAGGGUGCAAGCGUUAAUCGGAAUUACUGGGCGUAAAGCGCACGCAGGCGGUCUGUUAAGUCAGAUGUGAAAUCCCCGGGGCUUAACCUGGGAACUGCAUUUUGAACUGGCAGGCUUGAGUCUUGUAGAGGGGGUGAAUUCCAGGUGUAGCGGUGAAUGCGUAGAGAUCUGGAGGAAUACCGGUGGCGAAGGCGGCCCCUGGGCAAAGCUGACGCUCAGGUGCGAAAGCGUGGGGAGCAAACGAGGAUUAGGAUACC
rnacentral:rRNA from 1 species